CACCAAGUUCAAUAUCCACCUGUCCAGCGUGCAGCAGCAGCUAAGCGAGACAGGAAGUGGAUCGUAGUUGAGGCUAUCAGCUCUGAGACGGCUGAGUGUGGGGGGCAGUUAUUGCUGGAAGAAUCCAGUUCAAACAGCCAUCAAGAUGAUGAAGUUAUACCACCACUUAGUGUGGAUAAAAUGGUGCAGACAUUGAAGUAUUGUCCUCCAAUGCGAGAAAUGUAAGAAGAGGGCAAAUUACCGGUCCAUUGGUUUGCAAUGCAACUUGGGCCAACCAGAACCCAAAAGGAAAAAGGUCUGUAUGCUACUGUUUGACGCAGACAGUGAAGAGGAGAGUGACGUGGAAAAGGAUAGUCGACACGUCCCGGACCAAGAUGUGGAGUAUAUUGCAGGGGAAGACAUCGAUGAAGAUGAACCAAGUUCAUCAGAUGAUGAAGUGACACAUGUCAGCUUCGAAGAAAUCCAGACCAAUGAAAGUGAAGACCUUCACAAGCAGCGGAAGCACUUAGUAUUCGAGUCCUCCCUGAUCGCCCUCUUGGUCGUUUGUCUCCUUUGCAAAGGCAGAAACGCCUGCUUCCGCUAUGUUAAAGGGACACUGGUGAAGAUCCAGG